rnacentral:rRNA from 1 species
AGUCGUGCGAGAAGUACCUUCGGGUGCGAGUAGAGCGGCGGACGGGUGAGUAACGCGUAGGAAUCUACCUAGUAGAAGGGGAUAGCCCGAGGAAACUCGGAUUAAUACCGUAUACCUCCUUAGGGAGAAAGAGGGCUUAGCUUUGAUGCUCUCGCUAUUAGAUGAGCCUGCGUAAGAUUAGCUUGUUGGUGAGGUAAUGGCUCACCAAGGCGACGAUCUUUAGCUGGUCUGAGGGGACGAUCAGCCACAUUGGGACUGAGACACGGCCCAGACUCCUACGGGAGGCAGCAGUGGGGAAUAUUGGACAAUGGGCGCAAGCCUGAUCCGGCCAUACCGCGUGUGUGAAGAAGGCUUCCGGGUUGUAAAGCACUUUAAGUAAGGAGAAAAAGAUUGUAGUUAAUACCUGCAAUCCUUGAUGUUACUUACAGAAUAAGGACCGGCUAAUUCCGUGCCAGCAGCCGCGGUAAUACGGAAGGUCCAAGCGUUAAUCGGAAUUACUGGGCGUAAAGCGCGCGUAGGUGGUUUUUUAAGUUGGAUGUGAAAGCCCUGGGCUCAACCUAGGAACUGCAUCCAAAACUAGAUGACUAGAGUACGAAAGAGGGAAGUAGAAUUCACAGUGUAGCGGUGGAAUGCGUAGAUAUUGUGAAGAAUACCAAUGGCGAAGGCAGCUUCCUGGUUCUGUACUGACACUAAGGUGCGAAAGCGUGGGUAGCGAACAGGAUUAGAUACCCUGGUAGUCCACGCCGUAAACGAUGACAACUAGCUGUUGGGAGACAAGAUCUCUCAGUGGCGCAGCUAACGCUUUAAGUU